GAAUUGCUGUAAAGAGAUACCAACCAACACAAUCAUCACCCCGGAUCAGAAAGGAUGCCUACCAUACCACGGCUUGCCAUGCGGCGCCAUGUCCUCACCGGGGAUCCCAACUGGCGAACCCCGGGCCACCGAGAAGCGGAACGUGCGAACUUAACCCCUGCGCCACCGGGCCGGCCCCAUGUAAUAUUUUUUAUAAUAGUGAUCUUAAGCUGGCAUCUAAGAAGUCGGACUGCCUUUAUGGAGAUAUCAUGGAGAAAGACCACAUGAAGAAUCAAGACUUUGAAACUACAUUAAGAGAGAGAGAAGCCCAGCCAUCUCAGCUGACCCCAGCCUACAAGACAUCCACCACCUAAGUGACAGACAGCUUCAAUAUUCCAGCCUUGUUGAGCUGCCCAAUGACUGCAUUAAGGGCUGACAUCAUAUGGACCAGAAGAACCACCGAACUGAACAGUCAAUCAUACAAUCAUGAAAGAUAAUAAAAUGAUUAUUUUGUCAGUAA
rnacentral:lncRNA from 1 species